ACGCAGGAGGCGAGCGUUAUCCGGAUUUACUGGGCGUAAAGCGCACGCAGGCGGUCUUUUGGGUCUGACGUGAAAGCUCCUGGCUUAACUGGGAGAGGUCGUUGGAAACUGGGAGACUUGAGGCAAUGAGAGGGGUGUGGAAUUCCCGGUGUAGUGGUGGAAUGCGUAGAGAUCGGGAGGAACACCAGUGGCGAAAGCGGCACCCUGGGCCGUACCUGACGCUAAGACGCGACAGCACGGGGAGCGAGCGG
rnacentral:rRNA from 1 species